rnacentral:ncRNA from 2 species
UAGCAACAGCAGGGGGACUAUAUGUAGUUGAGAAGGUAAAACCUGACCCUUUGAACCUGUUGGCUAAUACCAACGCAGGGAGCUAAAUGAUACGGUAU